GUGAGGAAUAUUGGACAAUGGAUGGAAAUCUGAUCCAGCCAUGCCGCGUGCAGGAAGACGGCCCUAUGGGUUGUAAACUGCUUUUAUACGGGAGCAAUAAGGUCUAUGCAUAGAUUGAUGAGAGUACCGUAUGAAUAAGCAUCGGCUAACUCCGUGCCAGCAGCCGCGGUAAUACGGAGGAUGCGAGCGUUAUCCGGAUUUAUUGGGUUGAAAGGGUGCGUAGGCGGCUUUGUAAGUCAGCGGUGAAAUUUUGCAGCUUAACUGUAAAAGCGCCGUUGAUACUGUGAAGCUAGGAUUUGGUUGCUGUGGGCGGAAUGUGUGGUGUAGCGGUGAAAUGCAUAGAGAUCACACAGAAUAUCGAUUGCGAAGGCAGCUCACAAAGCCAAUAUUGACGCUGAGGCACGAAAGUGUGGGGAUCAAACAGGAUUAGAUACCCGGGUAGUCC
rnacentral:rRNA from 1 species